ensembl:miRNA
AAAAAGUUCGUUUGGGUUUUUUGUAAUAUGUUUGAAAAACACCCGGAUGAACUUUUGG